GGGAGCAGCUCGUGGAUUUGACAUUUUCCUGGAAGCACAUUCAUCCCUCCCAGAGAAGCAAAGGCGGUGCCUCUGUUUGUAGCUGGUGGCCAAUGUGUGACAGGGACCUGGGGUGGCCACGGGGCUCUGAGAUGGAAAAACAUCUCAGCAACAAUCCAUAUGGAAAAGGAUUUGGAUAUACUUUGGAGGCAAGGAAGAAAUGAUAAGAUCUUGGGAAUAAAAAGGUGUGUGGUUAUUGGGCUUCUCCCCACCCCAGACUGCACAGGAUUCCUGAAGAGGCUCCUGGGGCACUGCAGAAGGAGCAUUUGC
rnacentral:lncRNA from 1 species